rnacentral:rRNA from 1 species
AGUGAACGCUGGCGGUAGGCCUAACACAUGCAAGUCGAACGGCAGCACAGUAAGAGCUUGCUCUUACGGGUGGCGAGUGGCGGACGGGUGAGGAAUACAUCGGAAUCUACUUUUUCGUGGGGGAUAACGUAGGGAAACUUACGCUAAUACCGCAUACGACCUACGGGUGAAAGCAGGGGAUCUUCGGACCUUGCGCGAUUGAAUGAGCCGAUGUCGGAUUAGCUAGUUGGCGGGGUAAAGGCCCACCAAGGCGACGAUCCGUAGCUGGUCUGAGAGGAUGACCAGCCACACUGGAACUGAGACACGGUCCAGACUCCUACGGGAGGCAGCAUUGGGGAAUAUUGGACAAUGGGCGCAAGCCUGAUCCAGCCAUACCGCGUGGGUGAAGAAGGCCUUCGGGUUGUAAAGCCCUUUUGUUGGGAAAGAAAAGCAGCAGGUUAAUACCCCGCUGUUCUGACGGUACCCAAAGAAUAAGCACCGGCUAACUUCGUG